GAUGAACGCUGGCGGCGUGCCUAAUACAUGCAAGUCGAGCGAACGGAUGAGGAGCUUGCUCCUCUGACGUUAGCGGCGGAUGGGUGAGUAACACGUGGAUAACCUACCUAUAAGACUGGGAUAACUUCGGGAAACCGGAGCUAAUACCGGAUAAUAUAUUGAACCGCAUGGUUCAAUAGUGAAAGACGGUUUUGCUGUCACUUAUAGAUGGAUCCGCGCCGCAUUAGCUAGUUGGUAAGGUAACGGCUUACCAAGGCAACGAUGCGUAGCCGACCUGAGAGGGUGAUCGGCCACACUGGAACUGAGACACGGUCCAGACUCCUACGGGAGGCAGCAGUAGGGAAUCUUCCGCAAUGGGCGAAAGCCUGACGGAGCAACGCCGCGUGAGUGAUGAAGGUCUUCGGAUCGUAAAACUCUGUUAUUAGGGAAGAACAAAUGUGUAAGUAACUAUGCACGUCUUGACGGUACCUAAUCAGAAAGCCACGGCUAACUACGUG
rnacentral:rRNA from 1 species